UUGAUCUCUAUACAUUCUUUUAUGUACAAUAUUUAAAAAUAUCUUAUAUAGAAUACAAUAAUUAACCGCAAAUUCAAAUACCGGUGAAAAACCGCCAUUUUACUGGCAGCUGACGACAUUGGCGCUGUCGUGUCGCGAAUCAUCCCAUAGUAAGCCGGUGAAGAAUUCUCAUCUGUUUUUAUAAAUAUUGUACUUUGUUUCGUAUACCUCAAUGCAGUGCAAACUAUAAAGAUUAUCUAAGUGAGAGGUUUUUGUUCAUUUUAAUAAACAUAGUUGGUGAAAGUUACAUAUCAAAGUAUUUAACGACAAGAAGAAAUUCGCACGAAUUCUGAACUUUCCAACAUGCGCGAAUGUUUAAAGUGUUAACAUGGCGCCGAAACAUGACUGGUCAUGACGGGGGAAUGAGAACGAAAUUUUUGAGAUAUAUCAAUGAACAACAAAACUAUGAAAUACAUCAAAAACUACAAUAUAUAUAAUUAUGAUAAACUGAAAUAUAUUUUUAAUAUUACAUUAAAAUAUUUAAAAAUCAA